GGAAAGACCAGCAGAGAGGAAAGAGAAACUGGGAGAGGGAGGAAGGGAGAAAGUGAGAAGGGAAAUCGGAAAGAGAAAAGGGAGGAAACGGCAGAGCCAGAGAGAAAGAGGAAGAGACUGAGUGUGAAGGAGAGAGGACACAGGGGAUGACUGAGAGACAGAGAGAGAGAGAGAGAGAGAAUGAGACAGAGACUUAAGGAAGAGACCCUGUGAGUCUGACAAUAAAAGAUUUGGACAGAAACAGAAAGAUUGGAGAGAGAGAGAGAGGGAGAGAAUGAGUGAGAGAGAGACUGGAAGAGACAGAGAUCAGAGGGAGACACAGAAAGUGAGAGUGGGGAGAGAGGUAGUGUAAAAGGAAGAGAGAGAGAGAGAGACCGUAAGAGACAGGAGACAAAGAGACAAAAAGUGUGAGUGAGCAGGUGAGGAGAGAGAUUGAGAACUAUGAGAGACAGCAGCUAAGAGACAAAGGAGGCGGGAGACUGCCUAGGUGCCGCAGCACCCACACCGUCCUCUUGCCCCCCCGUCACUGGGACCCCAGAGCUGGCCCUUGAUGGAGGGGAGCCGACCUCGCAGCAGCCUGAGCCUGGCCAGCAGCGCCUCCACCAUCUCCUCGCUCAGCAGCCUGAGCCCCAAGAAGCCCACCCGGGCAGUAAACAAGAUCCACGCCUUUGGGAAGAGAGGCAAUGCGCUCAGGAGGGAUCCCAACCUUCCCGUGCACAUCCGAGGCUGGCUUCAUAAGCAGGUGGGGACAGCUCGGGGCUCCGUCUCUGGAAACGCCGCUGGUUCGUCCUCUCCGGCCAUUGCCUCUUUUAUUACAAGGACAGCCGCGAGGAGAGUGUCCUAGGCAGCGUCCUGCUCCCCAGCUACAAUAUUAGACCAGAUGGGCCGGGAGCCCCCCGAGGGCGGCGCUUCACCUUCACCGCAGAGCACCCGGGCAUGAGGACCUACGUUUUGGCCGCUGACACCUUAGAAGACCUGCGGGGCUGGCUACGGGCGCUGGGCCGGGCCUCCCGUGCGGAGGGGGACGACUAUGGGCAACCCAGGUCACCUGCACGACCCCAGCCCGGGGAGGGCCCCGGCGGCCCCGGUGGUCCCCCGGAGGUGAGCAGAGGGGAAGAGGGGCGCAUCUCAGAAUCACCGGAAGUGACUCGACUCUCCAGAGGUCGUGGUAGACCCAGGCUGCUCACUCCCAGCCCCACAACCGACCUCCACUCUGGACUCCAGAUGCGGAGGGCGAGGAGCCCCG
rnacentral:lncRNA from 10 species